rnacentral:rRNA from 1 species
CCUACGGGUGGCAGCAGUGAGGAAUAUUGGUCAAUGGGCGAGAGCCUGAACCAGCCAAGUCGCGUGAAGGAUGACGGCCCUACGGGUUGUAAACUUCUUUUGUCAGGGAGCAAGUGGGUCCACGCGUGGGCUUAGCGAGAGUACCUGAAGAAAAAGCAUCGGCUAACUCCGUGCCAGCAGCCGCGGUAAUACGGAGGAUGCGAGCGUUAUCCGGUUUUAUUGGGUUUAAAGGGUGCGUAGGCGGAAUAUCAAGUCAGCGGGAAAAAUUAGGGGUUCAACCCCGUCGUGCCGUUGAAACUGGUGUUCUUGAGUAGACGAGAGGUAGGCGGAAUGCGUGGUGUAGCGGUGAAAUGCAUAGAUAUCACGAAGAACUCCGAUUGCGAAGGCAGCAUACCGGCGCCCAACUGACGCUGAAGCACGAAAGCGUGGGUAUCGAACAGGAUUAGAUACCCUUGUAGUC